UCACUUCGAAUUCUGAAAUUGAGAAUCAUUAUUAAAAAAAGUGCACUUAAACUAUCAUAUAACUUCUUCACGUGAGUUUUGGAAAUGUAGUCAGUUGACAUAACUAAGUAACUUGGCUGAAACUGCUAGUUUAGUUAUCUUCGAUCAAAUAUACGUGUGCUCAGAUUUCGUGGAUCGACGACAGGACCAUGCAUGCACAAAC